rnacentral:rRNA from 1 species
UUGAACGCUGGCGGCAGGCCUAACACAUGCAAGUCGAACGGUAACAGGAAGAAGCUUGCUUCUUUGCUGACGAGUGGCGGACGGGUGAGUAAUGUCUGGGAAACUGCCUGAUGGAGGGGGAUAACUACUGGAAACGGUAGCUAAUACCGCAUAACGUCGCAAGACCAAAAAGGGGGACCUUCGGGCCUCUUGCCAUCGGAUGUGCCCAGAUGGGAUUAGCUAGUAGGUGGGGUAACGGCUCACCUAGGCGACGAUCCCUAGCUGGUCUGAGAGGAUGACCAGCCACACUGGAACUGAGACACGGUCCAGACUCCUACGGGAGGCAGCAGUGGGGAAUAUUGCACAAUGGGCGCAAGCCUGAUGCAGCCAUGCCGCGUGUAUGAAGAAGGCCUUCGGGUUGCAAAGUACUUUCAGCGGGGAGGAAGGGAGUAAAGUUAAUACCUUUGCUCAUUGACGUUACCCGCAGAAGAAGCACCGGCUAACUCCGUG